AUGAAAGCUAAAGAAUUCUUUUUCCAAUUUGGCACUUUCUCGGUUAGGGACGGCUCCCAGAUUCGAUUCUGGGAAGACACCUGGCUCGGGACUACUCCUCUAAAUGUGCAAUACCCAAGCUUAUAUCGGAUAGUUAGACAUAAGUUUGUCACGAUUAAGCAGGUAUUGGGACAAGAACACCCGGAUAUUUCUUUUUGCAGAACGAUUUCUGGACCUCGUCUGACUGCAUGGAACGAUUUGCUGACUCGUUUGGGAGCUGUCCAACUGUCGGCUGAAUCGGACAUCUUUAAAUGGAACCUGCAUCUGAAUGGAAGAUUUUCGGUUAAAUUC
rnacentral:rRNA from 1 species